AUGCGUAUGUUGAGAUGGAUGUGUGGCCACACGAGGAAGGAUCGAGUCCGGAAUGAUGAUAUACGAGAUAGAGUUGGGGUAGCACCAAUUGAGGAGAAGCUUGUCCAACAUCGUUUGAGAUGGUUUGGGCAUAUUCAGCGCAGGCCUCCAGAAGCUCCAGUGCAUAGCGGACGGCUAAAGCGUGCGGAGAAUGUCAAGAGAGGGCGGGGUCGACCGAUUUUGACAUGGGAGGAGUCCGUUAAGAGAGACCUGAAGGAUUGGAGUAUCGACAAAGAGCUAGCUAUGGACAGGGGUGCGUGGAAGCUUGCUAUCCAUGUGCCAGAGCCAUGA
rnacentral:rRNA from 1 species